AUGACGAUCCCUCCCUGGACCGCCCUGAUUCUUCCCUCCAUCUUUUUCUGUGGGGUCAGAUGCCAAGUCCAGGUGAACCAGAGCCUGCUGGAGGUCACCAGGGAAGGAGAGACUUCCACCAUCGCCUGCAAGUAUGAAUCAAGCUCUUUCUACAGCUUGCAAUGGUACCGGCAGUUCCCGGGAGAGGGGCCUAUGCAUCUGCUCACGAUAACGGGAACGGGUUCCAGAAAGGAACCCAACUUCAGCGCCGACCACAACAAAAAGGAGAAGUCAAGUCGCCUGAACAUCACCGGGGUCCAGCGCAGAGACGCAGCCACCUACUUCUGUGUUGUGGAAGCACAGUGA